UCUACUGUUUUGAACAAACCAGGGGCCCUAUUCCCAGCUACCGAUUGCGCGUGACCGACACUGUCGGUAGGCGAGGAUCGCUCGCUCUCGAUCGACCUUGUGGGAACGACCCAUGCAACUUUUGAUAUUCCGACGGCGCGUCUAUCGAUAGCGUGCUUGAAUCGUGAGGUGCACCGCACGAGCAAUCGAGCUGUUUGCAACACUGAUCUCGACUGUAAAACUGUAAAAGGCUGGAUCGCGGAUAGGGAGCGCGAGCGUGAAGAAACCGGCCGCCAUCUUACGGUGCCCACAACAGUCGCCGCAGCGAUCAUGGCAACUUCUUGCAAUUACGGUCGUACCAACCGUACUGGCAAGGUUACAGGGCCUAAAUUUAUACAGGUUUCGUCAUGAGGGCUACCCAGUGAAUAAUCUGUGUAGUGUGAUACGGCUGGGUGUACAGGUAAGUAUCACGUUCCUCAUCCACUGGUUUCUACUUUACAGGAAGGAAUAACCUCAGUGCACGCACUGUGGUUAGCCUAUCUCAGUUUUGCAUAUUUUCUUACAUGUUCACAUCAGAAACACACCUUACACUUUAGGCUCCUUCACCCAGCAAUAUAAUAAUUAGAGAUUAUAAUUCUUUUUAGAAGAGUUCCCCAUAUUCUUUUAGAAUAGUUUUUCAUCUUUUUAAUUUUUAGAAGAUACAGGGAUUGUAAACCAUGUUUUAAACUGAUGUUUUAACAUUUGUCCAAUGCAUUUAUUAAACAACAUAUUCAUUUUUAACUGGUUGCACCCAAACCAAUGUUCUGAUGUAUUAUUUCCUUUGUUGUCGAUGCACCAUAAAAACUGGAAUAAUCAUCAUCAAUGCAGGUUACUUCACAGCUGCCUCGACAUACUCAAGAAAUGGGUGCAGAACCUGCGUAAUGCCUGUAAAGUGGAAACUUCCUCUGCUCAUUAUUUUUGUGUUUACUUCUCCCCGCACUUCGCGGAAAACGACCGGCCACCGUGGGGUUUUACCGUUGUUCCUCCCACACACGUGGUCUGGAAGCAGUCACCAGAUUCUGACUCCAGAACACGCAGGAUCGGGUUUCUGUGAGCCGCGCCUCGCACAUGUCCGUAGCCGAUGAGAAGAGGUAAUAAAUUUUGAGUUCGAAGACGUUGGGUCAGUCGAGCUAACGGUUGUGCGAGGGGUGUCGUCUUGUUAUAUUUUUGCUGAGUGUUUUCGUUUGAAUAGCGCGAAAGGGGGACAUCGGGGGGACGAAAAACAACCCAGAGAGCGGGGGAGUUUGGGAAAUUAGAGGGACUUGGCCUGCGGACUCCGUAGCAAACGGACCUGCUCGGAGGCUCGGAGUGACUUUGCCAUAUCAUGUAAAUUUUGUCCACGUAAAAUCUAUUGCUGUAAAUAAACCUGUUACCAACUAUUGAAGAUCGUCUACUGUCGAGUACCUGCAACUCAACCGUCAUCUUCAUCGACAACUGGCAAGCCACGGGGAUUCAAGAGAGAGGAGAAAAGAACCAACUUUACUAUGCCCACAAACUUUGAUUACCACAGCACCUCCAGAAAGUAUGUGUCACAUGCGAUUUUUAAGUGUAUUCACAGUAUAUAAUACCUUGUAUUAACUGUUGUAGAUCUAAGCCGUCUCUACACUACACUCUCAGAAAUUAAAACCGUGAGAACCGUGAUAAUUGUUUCAGUUAAUAGGCAUGCACAUAUAUGCUAUAAGAAGAAAAUUAUUUCUUGAGAAUACACUUCUCUGGCUACUGGUGUUGUUUACAUCUACUGUUGAUCACAUUCAUUUGUCACAUAUUAUAUUCUUAUAUGUAUUAUUAUAUUAACACAUAUUUGAUCACAUUAAAUUCAAAAUGCAUCAUAUAUAAGAAAAUACAAGGAGGGAAGUUGCUAUUCAUUGCUCAUUCUAACCUAAAAUUGAGUGCUACAAAUUUAGAGAGAGUACCUGUCUAUUGUCAUUCCUAAAAUAUAUAUUGUCAUUGUAGCAAGGUCAUAAAACAAUAAAUGUAGUCUUUUGUGACCUCCUUGCACGUUCAUUGUAUCCUGAAACGCAUAAGUGCAAGAAAUAAAUGUUGAACUUGAAUAAACUUGAUGUUGUAUAAAUUUGAUAUAAAAUGUUGAAUAAUAUAAUGUAUGAUAUAAAAUGUUGAACAAA